rnacentral:rRNA from 1 species
AUUGAACGCCGGCGGAAUGCUUUGCACAUGCAAGUCGAACGGUAGAGGGGGCAACCCCUCGAGAGUGGCGAACGGGUGAGUAAUAUAUCGGAACGUGCCCAGUCGUGGGGGAUAACGUAGCGAAAGUUACGCUAAUACCGCAUACGAUCUAAGGAUGAAAGCGGGGGAUCGCAAGACCUCGCGCGAUUGGAGCGGCCGAUAUCAGAUUAGGUAGUUGGUGGGGUAAAGGCUCAACAAGCCAACGAUCUGUAGCUGGUCUGAGAGGACGACCAGCCACACUGGAACUGAGACACGGUCCAGACUCCUACGGGAGGCAGCAGUGGGGAAUUUUGGACAAUGGACGCAAGUCUGAUCCAGCCAUUCCGCGUGCAGGAUGAAGGCCCUCGGGUUGUAAACUGCUUUUGUACGGAACGAAAAGGUCUCUCCUAAUACGAGGGGCUCAUGACGGUACCGUAAGAAUAAGCACCGGCUAACUACGUGCCAGCCGCCGCAGUAAUAC